rnacentral:piRNA from 1 species
UUCGAAAUGGCUUCGAAAAUCGUGAU